GAUGAACGCUAGCGGCAGGCUUAACACAUGCAAGUCGAGGGGUAGAAGGAGCUUGCUCCUUUGAGACCGGCGCACGGGUGCGUAACGCGUAUGCAACCUACCUUUUACAGAGGGAUAGCCCAGAGAAAUUUGGAUUAAUACCCCAUGGUAUAAUUGAAUGGCAUCAUUUAAUUAUUAAAGUUCCAACGGUAAAAGAUGGG
rnacentral:rRNA from 1 species